GUAUGUAUGUGUGUGUGUGUGUGUGUGUGUGUGUGUGUAUAUAUAAAAUGUUUCUUUGAUCUGAUAACUGAGAUAGCUACAAAGUGACUAAUGGGUGUAUUAUAUAGACAGCAUUGGAACACUUCACAAAGGGAUGAUUCAUGUCCCAGGCAGGAUGGAGCAGGUUGAUGUGAAAUUCAUCAUGCUGCUCAGAACAACAUUCAAUUUAAAACUUAUAAAUUGUUCACUUCUGGAAUUUUCUAUUUCAUGUUUCUGGACUUUGGUUGACUGCUGGUAACUGAAACCACAGAAAGCGAAACCAUGGACAAGGGAAGACCAGUCAUCCAAUAUCUUUUCCACUGCUAAAAUCAAUCAAUCAAUCAAUCAAUCAGGGCCUUUGCAGUGAUCUCUGAAAACAAAGUGCUAAUUGUUCCAAGACUGCUUGGCCAAAGGCAAUACGUCAAUGUUAAUUAUCCAUUUUAAAGGCCUCAUUCCCCAUUCCCAGUUGAGUCAGCUAACAGGGAACAUCUCUACUACUUUCUACUUUCUCUGUGCUUAUUAAUGAUGUCAAAGGUCACUUAGAAGCUGUCCUUUCCGAGACCUGCACAUACAGAGAGCAGGUCCAACCAUUGAGAGUGUUCCAGGCAUGUCUGCUGGCCUAGUGGAAGUGCUCGUGAUUCUCUUAACAGUGGGAUGGCAAGCAAAACUUAUGGCCAGUGAUUGUUAGCUGUUAUUUUGCUCAUUCCCUGAAAACACUGCAAAUGCAUAACAAAUCAAUGGGGUUGCUGAACAUUUGCUGGAUUUAUCUUGCUUCCAGUUGGCAUCUUUAUUUAGAAAGACGUAUGCCAACCUUCUUAUUCUUUGUUCUGCCACAAAUAUCUUACAGUGUUUACGCUUUCUUGUCUAAUGCUUUCACUGGAUUUAGGGAGGUGUCAUUUAUUUAGUGGAAAUGCUAAUAAUUAUCUUGGAUGAUGUAGAUUCAUGAGGUGUUAAAAUUUCUCUUUAAUCUGUUAGCAUCAGUCUCUCCGAUCUUGAUGUCAGCUUCAGUGGGUGGUAUUCAAGGAAUAAGUAUAUAGAAAUUUCUUCUCCCUCUCUCUUUCUUUCUUUUAACAUACCCACAUGCAUGCACACGUCAUGCAUGCAGACUAACAUAAGCAUGGGUGUAUUCUUGGUGACCGAUGGUUAUACCAGAAACUAUGCAAGCCUCUUUUGGCACCAGGUGACAAACGAAACAAUUGAGAAUGUGUCAGAGAAAGGGAUGUUGCUGUCUGUAUCUGUUAGGGUCUAGGCUGAAAAGAGGUGGCAUUCUCAAGCAGUAAUUUUUAAAAAUUUGAUUAAGUGCUUUCAACAAAUACACGGGCUUGAUUUUGAAAAAUUAGCACAGGAGAGUGGAGCACCCUUGGGCUAUCAGCUCCAGCCCGAAGAGUCAACAGGAGGGAGUAGCUACCAUCACCUGGUACCCCAAUGACGGUGGCUGUUUGGAGAAGACUGUCAGACAGGGCUUGUGGCCUCCAGGAGUGGGAAUUGCCAGCCUGCAGCAACCCAGCAGUGAAAAACUCAGCUCCAGCCAUUGGAGUUUCUCAGAGCAACUCCCCAUGGCCACAGCUGACUGGAGCCAGAAGAUGGAGGUGAUUGGGUCAUGAGGGCUCUGCCCUCAUGAAUGGUUAAUCUUUGGAGUGGUUAGUCAAGAGUGGUUGUUAUCAAGUGAGUCUGGCCUGGUUCUCUUUUGCAAGUGCUCAGUUGCCCAUCCACCCUUCCACCAUGGGAUACCAUGGGAUAAUGCAGCAAGAAGGCCCUCAGUAGAAAUGGGUUUUUACCAUGUUAGCCAGAUGGUCUCGAUCUCCUGACCUCGUGAUCCGCCCACCUCGGCCUCCCAAAGUGCUGGGAUUACAGGCAUGAGCCACCACGCCUGGCUCAGAGGAAGCUCUUUAAUGAAGAAGUAACAUACUGUCUUAAAAGAGUGAUGUAAGGGGGUCUUAUAGUACCUUUAUGGAUGACAGCAGUGUCUGGGACUAAGGUCACAGAAGUGAAGAUCUGAGCCCACGUUCAACAAUCUUAUAAAUUACAAAGGAAUGUUUAGACACAAAAUCUAGACAGUGAAAACAGAGAUGCUGCAGUAGCAGGCCUAGAAGAGAAGGAGGAAUUUGCAGUCCUUUUUCAAAUCACCUUUUCAUAAAUGAAAACAAACUCAUACAACAACAAAAUAGGGCAUGCAUUCUGAUUCAGGAUGCUGUUUUAAAGUUCUGUUCAGCAGUUUACAUGGACUUUGAUAUCAUAACACUCUGAUUCAAGUGCUAAAUAUAAAUAGGGUAAAUAUUUCUUGGCUUCCAGUGGGGUAAUGGUAAACCCAAAUUAGAGGCAGCACCACGGUAAAGAGCUAUGUUGGAUGAAAUCCUGAACCACAUUUGUGGGAAGGACACAGGGCUGGCCCAGUGAAGUCACUCUUCCAGUGAAACAGCAGAGCUAACAUCAUCCUUCCAGGAAUCCUGCAAAAGAAGCCACCUGGGAUGCAGUAAGAUGACAGUAGCUUUCUGGAGCUAAGAUGACAGACAGUUUUUUCUUUGGCCACAGGUUCUGAUUACAAAUCAGCAAGCAAAUGUGUUCACACAGAUGAAAUAAGGGUAUAGAAAAGGAUGAUGAUUUGUCCCAUUUAUUCCAGCCCUUUUUACUGGCUUUUACAGUCCUUUUUACGUGGCUUUCAUUCAUUCUUCUUUCUGCCCAUGAAGCUUAUCCUAGAGAGAAUUUCUGAGAAUAAAUGAAGCAUAGUGAAGCUUCUAGAAAAUAGUGUAAAAUGCUAACAUUGUUAUUAUUGUCAAGUCAUGUUUAUCAAUAUGUGGAUCAUUGAUGAUAACUGAACUAUUCAAGAAAAGUUGUUAACUAAAUGGCUGUAUGACUUUUGGUGGGAGAUUGUAUCGUAGCUCAGGAAAAAUUUAUUCCCCUUGCGGUACCCGCACCCCCACGCCCAGGAGGAAUGUACAUCCUUGUCCCAGAAGCAAUGGGCUGGGUGACUUGCUUUGGCUUGUUGGAAUGUGAGUGGAUGUGGAUUUGCCUGUCCAAGCUAAGAGCCAAACACACAUGGUGCAUUGGGCUCACUCUGUGUGCUCUUAUCGCAUCAGAGCCAUGCGUCCCAGAGAGUGGUUGUGCCUUCUGCCUGGAAAUGCAGGAGAAUCAGAUCUCUGCCCUUCCCACCUGCGGACUUCAGUAGAACUGCCACGGCCCACCUGCAAACUCAAGAGUGAGAAAUAAAGAAAUGCUGGCAAUUUCACACCUCACUGACAGGUGAGUCCCCACGCACAAAGGAACUUCAGUAAGCCUAAUGGCUGACUACUCAUAAUUGUGGAGGUGAGCUGGCAUACUCAAAGUGUGGAAAGAAAGAAAAAUCUGUCAAUGGCGAAUUCUACAUCCAGCAAAUCCAUCCUUCAAAGGAGAAAUUAAGACAUGCUAUAAUUUUAAAAAGAAAAGGUGAGCUGAGAGAAUUUGUCACUAGCUGACCUUCUCCCAAGAAAUGCUAAAGGGAACACGUCAUGUUGAAAUGGAAGGAAAUUAGGUAGUAACUCAAAUCCACACUAACAAAUAAAAGGCCCUGUUAAUGUGACAACAUAGGUAAAAGUAAAAAACAGUAUAAAGGUACUUUUGGUUCAUAACUUCUUUCUUUUUUCCUUUUUUUUUUUUAGAUGGAAUCUUACUCUGUUACCCAGGCUGGAGUGCAGUGGUGUGAUCUUGGCUCACUGCAACCUCUGCCUCCUGGGUUCAAGCGAUUCUUCUGGCCUCAGCCUCCUGAGUAGCUGGGAUUACAGGCACACACCAGUGUGCCCAGGUAGUUUUUGUAUUUUUAGUAGAGACAGGGUUUCGCCAUGUUAGCCAGGCUGGCCUUGAACUCCUGGCCUCAGGUGAUCCACCCGCCUUGGCCCCCGAAAGUGCUGGGAUUAUAGGCAUAAGCCACCGCACCCAGCCAUUUCUUUCUUUUUUUCUGUCUGAUUUAAAAGACCACUACAUAAAACAGUAAUUCUAAAUCUUGAGUGAUGGGCACACAAUGUAUAAAGAUGUAAUCUGUAACAAUAGCAGCAUGAAGGUGGGAGGGAGGAUCAAAGAUCAUAGAAGCAAAGUUUUUGUAUACCUGUGAAAUUAAUUUGGCGUUAACUCAAACUAGACUGUCAUAAACUAAGAUGUUUCUUAACGGGAGAAGCAGGGAGGAAAGAGCACCAGAGAUUCUGGUCUACAUGGUCUGUGCUGAGGUCUCAGUUGUAUUCAUUUCCUGUUGCCACUGUAACAAAUUACCAUAAACUUAGUGGUUUAAAAUAACAGAUUUAUGAUCUUGCAGUUCUGAAGGUCAGAAGUUCAAAAUUAGUUUCAGUGGACUAAAAUCAAAGUGUUGGCAGGCUGCAUUACUUCUGAAGGAUCUAGAGGAGAAUCAAUGUCUUUGCUUUUCUCAGUUUUUAGAGGUCAUCUACAUUCCUUGACUCAGACCUCACAUGACUCUGAUCUCUGCUUCCAUCUUCACAUUUUCUCUGGCUCUUAACUGCCUGCCUCCCUCUUAUAAGCAAUCCUUGUGAUUUUAUUUAGUACCCACCAGGUGAUCAGGAUAACCUCCCCAUCACAAGAUCCUUAACCAAAUCACAUCUGCAAAGUUCUUUUUACCAUGUAAUUGUCUUAAUCCAUUUGGGCUGUUAAAACAAACGAUCAUAAGCUGGGUGCUUACAAAAAACAAACUUUCAGCCAGGCGCGGUGGCUCAUGCCUGUAAUCCCAGCACUUUGGGAGGCCAAGGUGGGUGGAUCAUUUGAGGCCAGGAUUUCGAGACCAGCCUGGCCAUCAUGGCGAAACCCCGUCUCUACUAAAAAUACAAAAAUUUGCCAGGCAUGGUGGCACGGGCCUGUAGUCCCAGCUACUCAGGAGACUGAGGCAUGAGAAUUGCCUGAACCUGGGGUGGGGGCGGGGAAAGGGGGUAGUGGGGAGGGAUGUGGGCGGAGGUUGCAGUAGGCUGAGAUGGCUCUACUGCUUUCCAGCCUGGGCGACAGAGCGAGACUUUGUCUUACACACACACACACACACACACACACACACACACACACACACACAAUUAUUUCUCACAGUUCUUGAAGCUAGGAAGUCCAAAAUCAAGGUACCUGGAGGUUUGGUGUCUGCUCAGGACCCACUUCCUGGUUCACAGACUGUGCUUUCUUCCUGCACCUUCACAUGGUGGAAGGAGCAAGGCAGCUCUCUGGGGCCUCUCUGACAAUGGUACACAUCCCAUUCAUGAGGGAAGAGUCUG
rnacentral:lncRNA from 1 species